CAUGAUGGACUAUAGGACAGGACUGCUGCUUUUAACUCUCUGCUGGGCAGGUGUUGAUGGUCAGACUCUGACAGAAUCUGAACCAGCGAUUAAAAGACCUGGAGAAUCUCACAGAUUGACCUGUACAGCAUCUGGAUUCACACUCAGCAGCUACUAUAUGGCCUGGGUCAGACAGGCUCCUGGAAAAGGACUGGAAUGGAUCGCUUAUAUAGGCACAUCUAGUUCUCCUAUCUCUUACUCCCAGUCAGUCCAGGGGAGAUUCACCAUCUCCAGAGAUGACUCCAGCAGUAAACUCUAUCUGCAGAUGAACAGUCUGAAGACCGAGGACACAGCAGUGUAUUACUGUGCACGAGAGACACAGUGA